UACGGGGGGGGCAAGCGUUGUUCGGAAUUACUGGGCGUAAAGGGCUCGUAGGCGGCCAACUAAGUCGGACGUGAAAUCCCUCGGCUUAACCGGGGAACUGCGUCCGAUACUGGAUGGCUUGAGUUCGGGAGAGGGAUGCGGAAUUCCAGGUGUAGCGGUGAAAUGCGUAGAUAUCUGGAGGAACACCGAUGGCGAAGGCAGGUCUCUGGGCAUUAACUGACGCUGAGGAGCGAAAGCAUGGGGAGCGAACAGG
rnacentral:rRNA from 1 species